rnacentral:rRNA from 1 species
CGUGUAGGCGGUGCGAUAAGUCGGGCGUGAAAUCCCCGGGCUUAACCCGGGGCGGUCGCUCGAAACUGCCGUGCUAGAGUGCAGGAGAGGGAAGUGGAAUUCCCGGUGUAGCGGUGAAAUGCGUAGAUAUCGGGAGGAACAUCUGUGGCGAAGGCGGCUUCCUGGACUGCAACUGACGCUGAGGCGCGAAAGCCAGGGGAGCAAACAGGAUUAGAUACCCUGGUAGUCCUAGCCCUAAACGUUGAGCACUGGAUGUAGCCCUUCACCGGGCUGUGUCGAAGCUAACGCAUUAAGUGCUCCGCCUGGGGAGUACGGUCGCAAGGCUGAA